rnacentral:rRNA from 1 species
AUUGAACGCUGGCGGCAGGCCUAACACAUGCAAGUCGAGCGGAGCGGCGGACGGGUGAGUAAUGCCUAGGAAUCUACCUGGUAGUGGGUGAUAACGUCCGUAAACGGGCGCUAAUACCGCAUACUAUCAGAUGAGCCUAGGUCGGAUUAGAUAGUUGGGGGGGUAAAGGCCUACCAAGGCUACGAUCCGUAACUGGUCUGAGAGGAUGAUCAGUCAACCUGGAACGGAAACGCGGUCCGGGCUACUACGGGAGGCGGCGGUGGGGAAUAUUGGACAAUGGGAGAAAGCCUGAUCCAGCCAUGCCGCGUAUGUGAAGAGGGUCUUCGGAUUGUAAGGCAAUUUAAGUUGGAAGGCGUUACCAACAGAAUAAGCACCGGCUAACUUCGUGCCAGCAGCCGCGGUAAUAC